rnacentral:sRNA from 1 species
UUAGACGAAAUGAAACACAUUUCAAAUUUUCAUGAAAAACAAAAAAAAAGAAGAAAAAAAAUGCCGAACGCUGAAAAUGUUGCUGCGUAUAUGUAUCUGAAAGAGAAAUGCCAAACAUGAGUCACUACCCCCAACAAAAAGAAAAAGAACGAAGUGAACAACGAAAUUUAUGUCAGCAGUGCCAAAAGCGACGAGCGAAUAAAGGCAAUAAAAACAAGCGGCAAAUAAAUAAAUAAGAAAUUCUAAAUAAGAAAGAGGAAAACAUGAAAAAUAACAAAAACCCGAACAAAGUACUCAAAUAUUCAUGCAAUAUGUUCUAGUGUGUGUGUUUCUGUGUGUGCGAUUGUGUUGCAACAGAAAUGAUUCAAAAAUAUCCCCAUAUGGCAAUUAAAAUUUUCAGCGCAAGCAAACUUUUUGUAACCAAUAAAAGCCAGAAUGAACAGUUAUUUGCAGUUCCGAAAAUAAUUUUGUCAAUUUUGGAUGCUCUACUUUGUACUAUGGUCAUGUACAGAAAACCAGAAGCUGUUAAUGAGUAACAAUUUCGAUUUGAAGUGCACAUGAAAUUGU